rnacentral:SRP_RNA from 1 species
CCUGACCCGGUUCGCGGGGAUCCACGUCCGAUGCCGUCUCGUCUCGGACGACGAGCCCCACCGACGCACGUGGAAGAUGACCCUGCGCACGGAAGCCUCGCGCGGCGAGAUUGUAUACCAGACCAUGUACAAAUUGGAGGCCGACGCUGACGCC